rnacentral:tRNA from 1 species
GUCAGGAUUGUCGAGUGGUCUAAGGCGCUAGACUCAAAUUUUGGUCUUCGUGAGAGGGCGUGGGUUCAAAUCCCACUUUUGACA